UGGAGGAACAACCGCAGUGGCGGGGCCAGCUCUGGAGCCCUGGAGUCAGCGCCCGAAGGAACUCCGGAGCUCUCCGUCUGCAGGGCCUGGAGGCUCCAGGUGGGG
rfam:Canis lupus familiaris chromosome 2, whole genome shotgun sequence.